UUGGAGACGCGAGCAGCUAGCCUCAGAGCUAACUAGCCGUGUAAGCUUUAUUGAUUUUCUUUUUGUUUGUUUUUUUUUACAAAGAAGCAGCUACUGUCAAGUUUGUUAUUGUUGGUGUCUGACAAAGAACAAGAGGAACGUCGUCGUCAAACACUUCUGACGCCGUUUCCCCCCCCGGGAAAACACAGAGCCAUGUACAAUGGGAUCGGCCUCACGACUCCGCGGGGCAGCGGCACCAACGGCUACGUGCAGCGCAACCUGUCGAGCCUGCGGGUCAAACGGCCGCGGGAUGAGCGCGGCGGCGAGCGGGACGAGAAGGACCGCGAGCGUCUGGAGAGUCAGCUCAACAGGCAGCCCAACGCAGAGAUCCUGGAGCACCAACGCAAGAGGCAGCUGGAGGUCAAGUGUGCCGAGCUGCAGGACAUGAUGGAGGAGCAGGGUUAUUCUACAGAAGAGAUCGAGGAGAAGGUGAACAGUUUCAGAAUGAUGCUGCAGGAGAAGGAGGAGCCGGCUCCCGCCACCACCGACAGACCAACUGUGACGGAGACUCACGCUCUGGCCGCCGCCAACCAGCAGAAGAACGACCGUCUGCGCGCCGCCUUCGGCAUCAGCAGCGACUACGUGGACGGCUCGUCGUUCCACGCAGACCGCAAAGAGAAAGAGAAGGAGAAGAGAGAGCAGGAGCGUCUGGAGAAGGAGCGGCAGCAGCAGCAGAAAUAUACGUUGGUGGUAGAUUCAGACGACUCAGAUUCGCCGCCAAAGAAACGCAGUCGGAAGAAGAAAAAGAAAAACAAGAACAGAGACAGCAGCUCAGAGAGUCGAUCUCCGUCUCCGCAGAAAGAGAAAAAGAAAUCCAAGAAGAAGAAAAAGAAACGCGACGCGUCCGAAGACGAUGAUGAAGACGAAGAAGAAGAAGACAACAGCUCUUCAGACGAGAAGCACAACAAGGUGUCAAAGAAAAAAGGGAAACACGGCGGAAGCACGAGUCCUCCGAAAAAAACCAGACAGAUAAGCGUCUCCUCCGGCUCCGAUCACAGUCCGUCUCCGGUGCCGCUGAGGUCACGUCAGAGUCAGCAGGACCAAACGUCGAGGAAAGCUGACGAAGGAAGAAAGGGGAGAUCACCUGAAAGGAGGAGACGAGGCUACGAGGAACAGAGUCCACAGCGUCAGGGAGGCGACGGGAAGAGGCCGAUUAAUAACGAGAGAGAAAAAGAGAGGACGAGCACGACUGACAAGGCGCCCGCCAAGAAGAGACACGACUCCUCAUCUCCUUCUCCACCUCCUCAGAUGGAGAAAGGCAGAGAGAGGGAGAAAGGGAGGCGAUCCCGGAGCAAACAGAGGGAGAACGAGAAGGGGAGGCGUUCACGAAGCAGAGAGAAGGAGCGGGAAAAGGGGAGGGAGAUGGAGAAGAGGAGGCGUUCGAGGAGCGUAGAAAACGACAGGGAGAAAGGGAGGCGCUCCAGAAGCAAGGAAAAGGAGAAGCAGAGAGGCAGGGAGGUGGAGAAAGCGAGGCGGUCGAGGAGUCGGGAAAACGAGAGGGAGAGAGGGAGGCGUUCAAAGAGCAGAGAGAUGGAGAAGGAGAAAGGGAGGAGGUCAAGAAGCAGAGAGAUGGAGAAGGAGAAAGGGAGGCGUUCAAAGAGCAGAGAGAUGGAGAAGAGGAGGAGGUCAAGGAGCAGAGAGAUGGAGAGAGGGAGGCGUUCAAGGAGCAGAGAGAUGGAGAGAGGGAGGCGUUCAAGGAGCAGAGAAAAGCGGGAAAAAGACAAAGGAAAGGAGAGCGCUCCACUCAGGACCAGACAUGACUCCUCCUCGUCAUCGUCUCCUUCACCUCCACCUCCACCUCCUGCUCCUAAGUUGGACGCGAGGAGGGCGAGGAGCAGAGAGGCCGACCAGGAGAGAGAUGUGAAAAAAUGGGACAAAAAGACGAGACACGACUCCUCGUCCCCUUCGCCUCCCCCCGAGAGGGAGAGGGCGAGAAGAGAGAGGAGCGGAGAGAGGGAGCGCCGAGCAGAAAGAGAUCCGCCGCAGCGCGCUCCAUACGAUGCCGAGAAAAGGAAGGAGGCGGGGAGGAGAGUGGAGAGGGUUGCGUCUCCUCCUCCUCCUCCUCAACAGAAAAACGACAGGAGGCGGGACGCUCGGUCGUCGCCGGCACCUCGUUCUCCUGCCGUCAACGGGCGCCAAAGAGAGCGGGAGGAGGAGGAGAAGAGGAGAGAAAAAGACACGCAGCGGAGGAGAGACGAAGAGCCGCUCAGACCGCCCGCUGAAGGAGUGCGGGACAGAUCCAGAUCCAGAUCCGGCAGGACAGAAAGACCGGAGACGAAGGAGCGUCCGGAAAAGACGAAGAGCCCGGCGAGGAAGGAGCGGCGCGUCGAGGGGAAAACGAAACACGCCGAGAAGAAGAGAGAGAGCAGCAGCAGCAGCAGCGGCAGCGGGAGCAGCAGUGGAAGCAGCAGCAGCAGCGAUAGCGACAGCGAUUCCUCCUCCUCCUCUUCUUCUUCUUCCUCCUCUUCGUCCUCCUCUUCUUCCUCCUCCUCUGAAGACGAGGGCAAAGGGAAGAAGGCCGCAGGGAAGGAAGUAGGAGGAGGAGGCAGCCCAGCGAAAAAAAGUGCGCCCUCUGUCAUCGGGGCGACGUUCCAGAGGUAUAUAACCAACGGGAGGAAGGAGAGUCCUGCCUCCGCCUCCGAGGGCGACGCCCCCCGACGAUCGCAGAAGGAGAGAGGAGGAGGAGCAGGAGGCAGGGAAAGACCUCCUCCUCCUCCUCAGCCGUCCCGGCCGAAAGGUCAGGAGCGCUACAGCCCAACGCAGGCGGACAGCCCGAGUCCCCCCCGAGACGCCAGCAGAGGAGACCGGUACUCCCCCGCCGAACCCGAGCCGAGAGGGAGAGACGCUGCCGCCAGGAGACCGUCAGCCAGCAGGAGAUCACGCUCUCCUCCCCAGAAAACCUCCGCCGCCUCCCCGGCCCGCCGCACGCCGCCGAGGCAAUAUCAGGAAGCCCCGCCGCCCUCCCGGUCCAGGAGAGCGUCUCCUCCUCAUCCUCCGGCCUGGUCAGACCGGCCGAGGGAGCGAGACAGAGACAAAGACAGAGAAAGGGAGAGAGAAAGAGAGAGCGAGAAGGACAGAGAGAGGAACAGAGAGAUGGAGAGAGAUCGGGAGCGGGUCGCCAGGAGGAGCAGAUCCAGGUCCAGAAGCCCGAGGAGACGCAGCCCCCCAAUCAGGUCUCGCCGCUCUGUGUCUCCUCAGCGGAGGAGGAGGAACAGCCGCUCCCUCUCCAGAGAGCGAGAGCGAGAGCGAGAAAGGGAGCGUGAGAGGAUGAGGCAGCGGGAGGCAGAGAAAGAGAAAGAGAGGGACAGAGAAAGAGAAAGGGAGAGAGAGAGGGAAAAGGAAAAGGAGCAGGCGCGUCUAAAAGAGGCUCCCCAACCCCGCCGAUCCGCCUCCUCCUCUUCCUCUUCCUCCGGCUCCUCCUCUUCCUCCUCGUCGUCGCCUUCGCCUGCCCGCGAGAGGAAAGACGCCAAAGCAGCGCCGGAGCGAGAGAGGCGGACGGAGCGAGAGGACGACAAGAGGCCGGAGCAGAAACCUCGCUCCUCUUCCUCACAGGCUCCGUCUUCAGGUGCACGCGCCUCCCAAGCCGAAUCCCGGCGCUCCGUCGUGACCUCCAGGAGGUCGCCGGCCGUCAGCCAAUCAGAAGCCAAGCAGUCGUCGCGAGGCCCGAGCAGGAAGCGGUCGCCACCAGCAGCCAAUCAUUCGCCACCACCACCACCACCACCACAGCCGCAGCAGCAGCCAAUCAGGAGCGAGAGCAGCGCGGUGAACGGGAAGGAGGCGAACAAGAAAGGAGACGGAAGCAGCAGCUCCAGCCCCUCCUCUUCCUCCUCAUCUUCAUCCUCCUCGUCACCCUCCUCCUCCUCUUCAGACAGCUCCGACUCCGAGGCAGAGCAGGAGAAAGGGAACGCCAAAACUCAGAGCUCUCCUUCUUCAUCCUCCUCGUCUGAGAAUGAAAAGGAAACAAAGAAAAAGAGCUGUGGUCUCCUAUCACAGCCCCCCGCGGCCUCAGAGGGUCCCGGCUGAUUCGCUGAGAGAUUCUCGCUCGCUCAGUUAUUCUCCGCCGAGGUACAUGAGACCGGCGCCGUCCUCGCCCAGCCGCAGGAGAGGCAGCAGACAGUCGCCGAGCCGCUCGUCAGGCAGCAGACGAAGAAAAUGAGAAUGCACUUCACUUCUUCUUCUUCUUCUUCUUCUGUGUGUGUGUGUGUGUGUACCGUCUCUCCGUUCACACACACACGUACACACCUCCAGCUGGUUUGAACUGGACUACAUCACCCAGCCAGCACUCUGCAGACACACACACACACACAUACACACACACACACACACACACACACACACACACACACACACACACAUCCAGGAGGAGGAACGUGUGUUUUUUUGUUGUUAUUUUUCUAAGCAGCGAUGACCAAAGGCGGCUGGCUUGGACUUUUCUUAUUAUGAGCUGAACACACACACACACACACACACACACACACACACACCCACACACACACACACACACACACAGUGGAGUGGAGUCAAAGGUAACUCUAACGAUGUUUCUCUGUACCUGUACCGUUUGUUUGCGUUCUACCUGUAGAUACGAGCUGUCUGUAUUUUUAGUUUUCAUCAUGUGACUGAUACAUGAUUUCCAUUCAAUGUGAGCAGAAACUGCGACAUGUGGUUAAUUUUCUUUGUUGAAUAUGGUUAAUAAUUAUAAAGAUGAUGAUGAUGAUGAUGAUGAUGAUAAUAAUAAAAAGGCAAUUGUACAUUU